GUUCAAAACCAUAGAAAUAGAGUAUAUGGUAUCUAUCUAUCAAAUCUCCUCGGGGAAAAACAUCAUCCAGUCAUGACAGCAAAUAAAUGCUUAGAAAGGAUUACAAUGUACAACUCAACAUAAUACACCAACAGAAGAAAAUGCAUUCAGGUUCAGUAUCUAUCAUUCAUCAGUCUUCACCGACACCAGGCUUGUGUAGAUGCACUGUUACUCCUCGUCACUUUCAUUGCUGAAGACAGAUGCAACAGUUACUACACGCACUGUUACUCCUCGUCACUUUCAUUGCUGAAGACAGAUGCAACAGUUACUACAC
rnacentral:misc_RNA from 1 species